rnacentral:rRNA from 1 species
CCUACGGGAGGCAGCAGUGAGGAAUAUUGGUCAAUGGACGCAAGUCUGAACCAGCCAUGCCGCGUGCAGGAAGACGGCUCUAUGAGUUGUAAACUGCUUUUGUACGAGGGUAAACGCAGAUACGCGUAUCUGUCUGAAAGUAUCGUACGAAUAAGGAUCGGCUAACUCCGUGCCAGCCGCCGCGGUAAUACGGAGGAUUCAAGCGUUAUCCGGAUUUAUUGGGUUUAAAGGGUGCGUAGGCGGUCGGAUAAGUUAGAGGUGAAAUCCCGAGGCUCAACUUCGGAAUUGCCUCUGAUUGUGGUCGGCUAGAGAGUAGUUGCGGUAGGCGGAAUGUAUGGUGUAGCGGUGAAAUGCUUAGAGAUCAUACAGAACACCGAUUGCGAAGGCAGCUUACCAAGCUACUUCUGACGUUGAGGCACGAAAGCGUGGGGAGCAAACAGGAUUAGAGACCCCAGUAGUC